UUUAAUGUAGUUUUAAACGAGAAGCGUGGGUAUAAAAGGGGCGGGGCCCGGCCAAAAAAAUGUCGCACGCAAAAUUUAUAAGGGAUAAAAUGGCUACUCUUUGCGCUCAGGCUGUAUCCCAGAUUCACUGCCUUUAGCAACGCUUUUAUGAACGUAAAAGGGGCGUAUUGAACGCUUGACAUCCGCUUAGACACGUGGUCUUUUAGUCAGUAAACAGUAAGCUAGUUUGCGAUGGCUACUUCAAGGAAACGGGUGCGCUACACAAUGGACGUUCACUUCGUUGAUGAAGAGGAGAAGCAAGCGUUUCUUGGUCGCCUAAAGCACGUCCGUGAGCUGCUAAAGCCUCCUGGAAGCCCUCUGCUUGACAACUUUAGCCUGUUGAGCACGCUCUGUGCUUCUGUUGAAGGUGACCCAGAUCACUCACACCCUCCCCCUACCCCUGUUACUGCAAUCAGGAGCUUUAUGAGCAACAAUGGUAUGUACAAAAACGAUACUUCCGAUGGGCAACAACUCUUUGCCACGGAAUAUCAUUGUUUCACUGACCUAGUGAAAGGGCUUGCCACGCCCUGUCCGUGUGGGGUAACUAGAAGUCCCUGGGAAGUCCAGUCAAUAGUACAGAAAGGACAUGUGGUACGAGCUCUUUUUUGCUGCCGACGCUGUAAGGUGCAGAAGAGAAAGUGGUCUAGCUCCCGUGUAUUUGGAGGACAUUAUUUGGUGAACCAGAAGGUUGUUCAUGGGUUUACUUGUGCUGGAAUUCUACCCUCCCAAUACACCCACUUUAGUCAGUUCUGUGGUUUAGGGACUGUUGGUCAAAGUUACAUCCGACAAGUGUACGGAAAGCUAGGUUACCGUGACAUUGUACAAAGGGCAGCAAACGUGAGCAUGAUGUCGGCUGUUUUUGAUGUGAAGGCCCUUCCUGAGUAUACCACCAACAAAGGAGAGUGGGUAAUCACUGAUGCCCGGCACGACUCAACAGCCAACGCAUACCACACAACUGUGCCUUGCCUGUCUGGAAGCAACAAGAAGAUACUCGGCAUAUCAACUCUCUCUCGGGCCGAACACUCCACUGCACAGACCAGAGAACUUGUGUGUACCAAGCUUGUUAUCCCUCAAGUGUAAAGCAGAGGUAUUGAAGUCAUCGAGGUAGCUCAUGAUAUGCAGGCGCAGGUCGCAAAGUACGUGUCAGACGAGUUGGGACUCAUCAAUUCCUACGACACUUGGCAUGGAACGAAGAAUGUGUCGAAGGAAAUAAAGAAAGUAACACAGG